GCGCUUGCAACCAGACUUGCAUGCAGUCGAUCAUCCGAUGUUUUCAUUGGUGCACUCGAUUGUAUUCAGGCCAGCAUUGGUUUUGGUGGUUGGAUAAAGGCCAAGGGAAUGUAGCUUCUUUCGGGGAGUGUUAUAGCCCUUGGUGCAAUGCAUCCUACUGGGACCGAGGACCGCGCUUCGGCUAGGAUGCUGGCGUAAUGGUUGUAAGCGACCCGUCUUGAAACACGGACCAAGGAGUCUAACAUCUAUGCGAGUGUUUGGGUGUAAAACCCAUGCGCGUAAUGAAAGUGAACGGAGGUGAGAACCCUUAAGGGUGCAUCAUCGACCGAUCCUGAUGUCUUCGGAUGGAUUUGAGUAAGAGCAUAGCUGUUGGGACCCGAAAGAUGGUGAACUAUGCCUGAAUAGGGUGAAGCCAGAGGAAACUCUGGUGGAGGCUCGCAGCGGUUCUGACGUGCAAAUCGAUCGUCAAAUUUGGGUAUAGGGGCGAAAGACUAAUCGAACCAUCUAGUAGCUGGUUCCUGCCGAAGUUUCCCUCAGGAUAGCAGAAACUCGUAUCAGUUUUAUGUGGUAAAGCGAGUGAUUAGAGACCUUGGGGAUGAAACAUCCUUAAUCUAUUCUCAAACUUUAAAUAUGUAAGCUCAGGAUGCUUGCUUAAUUGAAGCACCUGUAAAUGAGAGUUUCUAGUGGGCCAUUUUUGGUAAGCAGAACUGGCGAUGCGGGAUGAACCGAACGCGAGGUUAAGGUGCCGGAAUACACGCUCAUCAGACACCACAAAAGGUGUUAGUUCAUCUAG
rnacentral:rRNA from 1 species